UAGAGUUUGAUCCUGGCUCAGGAUGAACGCUGGCGGCGUGCUUAACACAUGCAAGUCGAACGAUGCCUUCGGGCAUAGUGGCGCACGGGUGAGUAACACGUAGCUGACCUGCCCUCAAGACCGGGAUAACGGUCCGAAAGGACUGCUAAUACCGGAUAAGCUCACGGCCUUUAGAGGGUUGCGAGAAAACAUUCAGGUGCUUGAGGAGGGGGCUGCGGCCCAUCAGCUAGUUGGUGCGGUAAUGGCGUACCAAGGCGACGACGGGUAGGGGGCCUGAGAGGGUGGUCCCCCACACUGGGACUGAGACACGGCCCAGACUCCUACGGGAGGCAGCAGUGAGGAAUAUUGGUCAAUGGGGGCAACCCUGAACCAGCGACGCCGCGUGGGUGAUGAAGGUUUUCGGAUCGUAAAGCCCUUUUCUAGGUGACGAGCGAGGACGGUAGCCUAGGAAAAAGUCUCGGCUAACUACGUGCCAGCAGCCGCGGUAAAACGUAGGAGGCAAGCGUUAUCCGGAGUUACUGGGCGUAAAGAGCGUGUAGGCGGGCUGGCAAGUCUGGUGUGAAAGCUCCCGGCUAAACUGGGAGAGUGCAUUGGAGACUGCCAAUCUAGAGGCUGUCAGAGGGUCGUGGAAUUCCGGGUGUAGUGGUGAAAUGCGUAGAGAUCCGGAGGAACACCAGUGGCGAAGGCGACGACCUGGGGCAGAACUGACGCUGAGACGCGAAAGCACGGGGAGCGAACGGGAUUAGAAACCCCGGUAGUCCGUGCC
rnacentral:rRNA from 1 species